GGGCCCGCACAAGCGGUGGAGCAUGUGGUUUAAUUCGAUGCAACGCGAAGAACCUUACCUACUCUUGACAUCCAGAGAACUUUCCAGAGAUGGAUUGGUGCCUUCGGGAACUCUGAGACAGGUGCUGCAUGGCUGUCGUCAGCUCGUGUUGUGAAAUGUUGGGUUAAGUCCCGCAACGAGCGCAACCCUUAUCCUUGUUUGCCAGCGAGUAAUGUCGGGAACUCCAGGGAGACUGCCGGUGAUAAACCGGAGGAAGGUGGGGACGACGUCAAGUCAUCAUGGCCCUUACGAGUAGGGCUACACACGUGCUACAAUGGCGCAUACAGAGGGCAGCCAACUUGCGAGAGUGAGCGAAUCCCAAAAAGUGCGUCGUAGUCCGGAUCGGAGUCUGCAACUCGACUCCGUGAAGUCGGAAUCGCUAG
rnacentral:rRNA from 1 species